rnacentral:tRNA from 1 species
UAGAUUAGGGCCUGUUGUUCGGGCGUUUAGUUGUUAACUAAGAGGUUGUAGGAUAAAAGCCUACUGAUCUAG